ACUCCUACGGGAGGCAGCAGUGGGGAAUAUUGCACAAUGGGCGCAAGCCUGAUGCAGCCAUGCCGCGUGUAUGAAGAAGGCCUUCGGGUUGUAAAGUACUUUCAGCAGUGAGGAAGGCAGGUACGUUAAUAGCGUGCUUGUUUGACGUUAGCUGCAGAAGAAGCACCGGCUAACUCCGUGCCAGCAGCCGCGGUAAUACGGAGGGUGCGAGCGUUAAUCGGAAUUACUGGGCGUAAAGCGCAAUGCAGGUGGUUUGUUAAGUCAGAUGUGAAAGCCCGGGGCUCAACCUCGGAAUUGCAUUUGAAACUGGCAGACUAGAGUACUGUAGAGGGGGGUAGAAUUUCAGGUGUAGCGGUGAAAUGCGUAAGAGAUCUGAAGGAAUACCGGUGGCGAAGGCGGCCCCCUGGACAGAUACUGACACUCAGAUGCGAAAGCGUGGGGAGCAAACAGGAUUAGAUACCCUGGUAGGAUAGCG
rnacentral:rRNA from 1 species